rnacentral:misc_RNA from 1 species
UCCUGUGUUGCUUACCAAUGAAAUGGAAUUUGAUGGUCUUGUUAUGCGGAUUCGCCUUGUGCUCUUUGGGGUGCGAGGUGGACAUGCGGUGAGCACUGUCCUCCCAACAUGCCAAGUGCAUUGGUGUUUGGUUGUUGUGGUGUACGGUGUCUUUGCUUGUUCUCUCGGAUGCGGAAAGCUAAGUGUGGGCAUGAGGUCUUGACCUUUAAUCGUCCAAGCACUGUCUCUUGACUCGAAUGACUGCUGUGCCUGUCUUGAUCUUUCCGACCAAGGCCUCGUAACGGGGCUUACUGGACGAGGGUGGAUCAUGCAGGUGUUGGCGUCARARAGGAAAGCUAC